rnacentral:lncRNA from 1 species
GAAUUUCCAUGCAUAAAAAUAUUGCAGCCGAGAGUAAUUGUUCUUUGAACAAAUAACAUGUAUUAAAAAGUAGAUAAGAUGAACAACACCUGAGUUGUUUUUCCCGGAUGCACGUCAGAAAAUCUUCUGACAAAUUUUAUAAAACCACGCAGCGGAGGCGGCGGCUCAGGUGCGUCUGUUGGGCAGUUCGCACUGGCAUACACUGCACCGGCGGGUUGAGUUGAACGCGAGAAUUGUCUGUCGAUUUGGCACGAAAUCGAGAAUCGGUCGCAAAGUUGUAAGCCGCCUUGGUUGCACGGACGUAGGAGUUGACUGCGUUAUUGUGAACCGUCUUGGAUAGUGAGUCGCCAGUGGUAUUGAUUUGAUACCCGCCUCAUACUCGCCGUUUUUAUAAUGAAUAAUUGUCCUGCAAACAAAACACACUGUAGACCAAAGUAAUUUGUUCGCUACAUAAAAUAAUACGUGCUAUGUGAACAGCUGAAAACAGAUAGCACCUGGUAUAUCUAGAUGAUGGAUGAUCUGCUUUUUUUUUUUAAAUCCGUCGGGGUGACGUCUAGUACGCCUGGAUGGCAUAGUCUCUCCUUAGCACGUGGUAGUUUCCCGUAUGCAUGUAGCAUCACAGGAAAAUGAACUUCUUGCUCCCUCUUAGUCUUGUUGACACAACGUUGUGCGACUAUCGGCCUCUAUAGGCAACUGAGGCCGUAAUGAUUAUUUCUGCCUUCUUCUCGAACCAAAGUCUGACUCGUUCUCCUGGCCAUUGGUACUGUGUUGGGAGCGCAGUGAAGCUGUGUAACGCAGCCAACGUGGUGAGCCAACAAGGUGGAGACGAGGUGGGCAAGGCCAAAUCGGCCACAACGCGGCGGGCGGAGCGAGGACAAAGCCGCCAUGGCGCGGCGGUGGUUUGCAGGUGAGACAACAACGACAGCCGUGGCGAGAAAAGGUGAACAUGCGAAGGCGGCCGAGUGUGGCCGAG